AUACGGAGGAUCCGAGCGUUAUCCGGAUUUAUUGGGUUUAAAGGGAGCGUAGGCGGACGCUUAAGUCAGUUGUGAAAGUUUGCGGCUCAACCGUAAAAUUGCAGUUGAUACUGGGUGUCUUGAGUACAGUAGAGGCAGGCGGGAUUCGUGGUGGAGGGGGGAAAUGCUUAGAUAUCACGAAGAACUCCGAUUGCGAAGGCAGCCUGCUGGACUGUAACUGACGCUGAUGCUCGAAAGUGUGGGUAUCAAACAGGAUUAGAUACCCUGGUAGUCCACACAGUAAACGAUGAAUACUCGCUGUUUGCGAUAUACAGUAAGCGGCCAAGCGAAAGCGUUAAGUAUUCCACCUGGGGAGUACGCCGGCAACGGUGAAACUCAAAUGAAUUGGCGGGG
rnacentral:rRNA from 1 species